GUGCUAUCAUUCUCUUGUAGGUAUUUGAUGACUACAUUUAUUGAUACUUGUCUAAUAAAAAUUUAAGAAGCUAAUUAAUAGUUAUUAUGUACAAAAAUUCAUGUCACUCAUGGAAAACAUCUUAUCCAAAACAAAUACACAACGCGGAUGACAGUGCAUCAUAUUAAUGGUCUUGAUGUGAAUCUAAACCACAUUUGAAGUAAGAGAAAGGA
rnacentral:lncRNA from 1 species